rnacentral:tRNA from 1 species
GCGGGAAUAGCUCAGUUGGUAGAGCGCAACCUUGCCAAGGUUGAUGUCGCGAGUUCGAGCCUCGUUUCCCGCU